ensembl:lncRNA
GGGCGAGUCACUUCUGUCUAUGAGCCUCAGUUUCCCCCUCUGUAAGGCUCAGAUUCAUCCACAGUGCCUCCCUCCCGAAGAUUCGGGAUUAAAUGACCUGGUGCCUAUAAACUGCUCAGCCAAAGUCACUGCCCUCCCUCCACGGGGGCCGUUCUUCCCCCAGCUGGGGUCUUCUGGAAGAUUCUAGACCUGCAACAGCGGGCCCUGCCCGCUCCCGGCAGGCUGCCUCCCCUCCGGGCCCCAGAUUCAGGGGACCACACGGGCGGGCGUUGGGAACACUUCCUGUGCAGUGCCCACCAGGCCAGGUGGGCCAACGGGAGACAGCAGCUGGGGCUGCCCCACUUCCUGCCCCGGGGGGGGGAGGGGCUCCUGGCUCCUUCGCCCCCACCCCCCCAAAAUAACAUCCCCCCCGGAACCAAAGCCACCCACACCAGCUGCAGCCUCCGACUCUGGGGAAGCAGGGCGGGGGGGGGGGGGUGGCCAGCAGCUGCCACCGCCGGGAAUGUCCCCCCUCCCCCACUGCUGCCACCUCCGCAUUCCAACUGCAAGGGGGUGACUCGGCCUCCCCACUGUCUGGGCCACACGAGCUCCGAGCAGGCUGGGCUGGCCGCAGAGACAGGGCCCCUCUGCCACCCUGGGUGAUGGGGGACCCUCUCUGGCCAGAACCCCAGGCCCGAGCUGCCUCGGAUCUUCACGUCGAGUGACUGUUUGGGGGGGAAAAGGGGCCAGUUGCCUGGACGACAGCCCCCCACCUCCAUCCGGGAACAAAGGGGCAGCCGGGGAGCCAAGAACGGCGUGUUCCUUGCCUGCCAACGUGACUGGCACAUCCUGGCAGCUGGCACCCGGACGGCCAUGGCCUGAGCCGCCGGGCCCGGCCACCCCAGACAAGGCCACUCAGUGUGGGGGGCGGUCGGGGGGGUGGCUGCAGCCCCGGGGGGAUCCAGUUCCCAGCGAGCUGGCCCUAAGCCUGUCCUUCCGGCACAUUCGGACCAGGAAGUCUGUCUGCGCUGCCUGCACACUUCUCAGAAAGCCCGGGGGCCUCAGAUGUCCCGCUCUGAGCUGGACAGGCCACCAGGACCCGGGGGGCGGGGGAGAUAAAGGCCACGUGGAAGCUUUGCGGCUGCCCGGCCCCCUGGUGCGGCAUUUCAGGGACCUGCCCGGUCUGGAACGCGCUGGCGCAGGGGACAGUGGGUCUCAGAGCCGCUCCCCUCCCCCAAAACCGCCACCGUCAUGCAGGGGACAGCGGGCAGCUGGCGCCAUCAGGGCGGGGGGCGGGGACGGGCCGGGGCCUGCAUGUUAAAAGACUCCGGCUCCCCACGGCGAGCCGGCCCCAGGAGACAAAACCUGGCCUUCUGGCCAUCGGGCCACCGCUGGGGACGGUCCACCCGUGGGCUGGAGCCGCAGCCGCGUGGGGAGAGACGCCGCUGGCCUGUCCCGGCUGGGGUGGGGCUGCCAGAAAAGACACAGGCCACGCGGGGAGACGAACAGUCUCCCAGCAGGAGUGGGUCCCUCGCCAUAUGCGGGACACACCGAUGCCACCGCGGCGUCUCGGGGAUGCACGUUUAUCUGCGGGGCCUGAAUUUUUAUUGGACAAAUCUGCCACCCUGGUCAGGGGGUGCUGGGGGAGCAAAAAAGGAGCUCGUCAACAGCCCCCUCAACUUGUGCCUCUGCGGGUCCCAGCCUCGGGGACGGCCCCGCGGUCCCCUCCGCCCCCACCGCCGGGGGCUCAGCCAGAGGCCUGUGUCGGCCUCCCCUCUGGACCCUGGCCUGUCCACCGUCCCUCCCAUCUGCCACCUGCCCUGCAGACCCGGCCAGGGGCCGUCGACUCCCGCCUGUCCCCCUCCUGCCCUUCCUCGCCCCUCGAAGGCUCCACCCCCUCCUUCCCGAGAGACCCGAGGGGGCCCUCGGCUGCUCUGAAUCCGACAGGUGCUCCCGCCAUGAAGGCCCCUUCCGCCAUGGGCUCCAACCAACCCCGACCCCCAGCCCCCUCCUCCAGCCGCUCGAGGGAGCUGUGGUUGCCCAAAAGCUUCCUGCUCUCCCAUCACCCCAACCUGAGUCAGAUCCCGCCCUCCUCCGCCCACAGCCCUCCAGGACUCCCAUCUCCCUCAGGAGAGAAGCCGAGUCCUCCUCGUGCCCCCCAGGCCCUGCACGACCUGCCCCGUCCCCUCCCUGCCCUCCCUCCUCCCUCUCUCCCCCUCCUCCUUCUGCUCCAGCCACAUGGCCUCCUCUUAUUUCUCCAGCCAGGCCUGGUCCUGUCCCAGGACCUUUGCACGGGCUGUUCCCACGGCGUGGAGCACACCUCCUCCAGAGAGCCACAUGUUUAGCUCCACCGUCUCCCCUCUGGGUCUCAGCUCCACUGUCCCCCUCACUGAGGGCUCCCUGGUUGACUUGGUUUAAAACAGCAGCCCAGUCAGGCUCCCCAUCCUCCCCUCCUGCUGUGUUUUUCUCCGCAGCUCACACGGCAAACUCCGGAAUGCAUUAUUUGGAGUCAUGAAGAUUGUCGCUGAGCUAACAUCUGUGCCAAUCUUCUAUUUUACGUGGGACGCUGCCGCAGCAUGGCUUGAUGAGUGGUGUAUAGGUCCAUGCUGAGAACCCAAACCCGCGAACCCUGGGCCACUGAAGCAGAGCAUGUAAACUUAACCUCUACCCGACCAGGCCAGCCCCUCACCCUCUGUUUUACCCACCUGGUCACCAGAGCCGGCUCAUCCAUCAGACACAGGAGACCCAGGGCCCGUGACACUCUGAGGGACCCACAGAAUGGCUUCAUUUUAAUGUCUCAAAAUCAGGAGAAAAAGAGAAAUAAAAGAACCCCAGUGCAGUCGCGCAAGAUCAGCUGUCACAUUUUUUCACGGAGGGAGGGGCCCCCAGUGGCAAACGUCUCACGUGGCCCUGCCCAUCCCGUGCUGCCCGGCACACAGCAGGCGCUUAAUAACUGUCUAUGGAAGGACUGAACAUCCGCUGAAUCGCUGGUCCCCACUCGUAACAGGAGACGCGGGACAAACGGGUCGGUGGACGGGCGGGGGCGGUCAGGGGGCGGCCAGGCGACACCGGACCCGGCAGAGACCAAGCCGGGAGCACAGCGCCACCUUGUGGCACAGGGUCGGCGGGGGGGGGGGGGAGGGCCCCCC